UAAGACACGAUCCCCCACAGUGGAAUGUGUACAAUGGGGCCCCUGUGUCCAGAGAGUUGCCCAGGGACAUCUGGACAAGAGAUUGUAUCUGUGACCUGUGUUGUCCUUUGAGUUUAUGACAUACAUAUAUCUAAGACAGAAACCCCCGCAGUUGUAUAAGAGGGGUUGUCCUGAAAACAAACAGAUGUCCAUAUGUUGUUCUCCUGUGGGGUGUGUCCAUAAGUACCAGAGUUUCUGUGUGUUCGGGGAGAUCACUUUUGGCUGUGUCUCUCCCAGGUCGAACCAUGGCGAGCCUGGCGAUGCUGUAACUUGUUUGUCAAUAAAAUGAUCAUUAUGUAAGCAA